rnacentral:rRNA from 1 species
AUGACGGCCGUCCUGUCGCAGAACGUGGUCCUGAAUUUGUUUAUAUAUUUGUUAGAUGUACGAGCAACAGAAGAAAAUCUCCCCUUUGCUCAUUGUUGGUGGUUCAGACUCGGGUCUUCGAUGCAAAUCGAUCAAGUGCCCCCAUCUUUAGUUAUUCUGUUUGGUGGUACGUGGAUCUGCUGGUGCACUGUAGAAAGCUUAGUAUUGCUAUGUGUUGUUCAGCAUUGGCUCAUGAUAUACCUCAUCUUCCCGGCGGACAGCACCUUCCACGAGGAUGACAUCUCCAACUACUUCAGUCUCGCCGGGAUUAACCGUGCUCGUCCUCUGAACCGCAGCAUCUACGGUCAUGUCCAUGAUGUGCGCAUCCCCUACCAGCAGAACCACAUGUUUGGGUUCGUCACCUUCGUCUACAAGGAGAAGGGCAAGGUCCGCAGCAAGUUCAGGCAAGCCCACGGCAAUCUUUGCCUCUUGCUUCCGGCAGCAGUUGAUGUUAGGAUUGUUCAUUAUCUUGAGCCAUGCCUGCUACCGAAUCUGAAUGUUUCCAUCUCUGUAGACUUUAGAGCUGAGCUAGAUGGCCUCGCAUCCACGCUGAUCUAUAUUUUGAGGGAAACACCGCCCUGCCAAAAAGCCAACCGGUCGAGCUAG